rnacentral:rRNA from 1 species
UACAGAGGUCCCAAGCGUUGUUCGGAUUUACUGGGCGUAAAGGGUGCGUAGGUGGCGGGGUAAGUCUGGUGUGAAAGCUCCGAGCUCAACUCGGAAAAGCAUUGGAAACUAUUCCGCUAGAGGGUCGGAGGGGAGACUGGAAUUCUCGGUGUAGCAGUGAAAUGCGUAGAUAUCGAGAGGAACACCAGUGGCGAAGGCGAGUCUCUGGACGACUCCUGACACUGAGGCACGAAAGCGUGGGGAUCAAACAGG